rnacentral:lncRNA from 12 species
GGCAAGGGCAAGGAGGUUUUGGGGGCCCAGCUGGCUGGAUCCACCUCCACCUCCUCCUCGCCCUUCUCCGGGGGGUCCCUCGUCAGCUCCAGCGUGGGCAGCUCCUCCCGCAGCUUCGGCCACGCCUCCAGCCUGCCCAGCCUCAGCGUGGAGUCGCCGCUGCUGGGCUCAGGGAUCUACACCAGCAACAAGGACCCGAUCCCGCUGGGCGCGGCGCUGCGCGCUGUCUGCAGCACCCCGCUGCCCUCGGGGCUGCUGCCGCACCAGGGCGGCGCCGCGCUGCCGCAGCUCAGCCGCUCGCCCUUCGCCAGCUCCAUCCCCGCCUGCUCCUCCUCCGCCGGCUCCACCACCCAGGUACGGCCCGGGAGGGGCCGGGCUUUGGGGAUGGGGGGGUCCCCGUGGUGUUCCCGUGGCUUUCCAGUGGGUGGGAAGCAGCUGGCUCCCCGUGGGGGCACGGGAAGGGCGAGGCUGUGAUGCCUGGAGCAGAGCUGAAGGAAUAAAGAGUUUGUUAAAAUCCUUCGAAGGAUUCGCCUUGGGCAGUGCAAAAGCCUGGCCGUUGUCACACCCAAGACGGAUCUGAAAUGGACUCAGAGUCACAAAUUCCCACACUUUUAUAAAUUUUGGUCCAUUUCCAUAUUGGGGUUAAUUUUCCAGUUCCACCUCCAGGCUCUCCAGUCCCAUCCUCCCGGAUUCUCUCCUCAGUUCUGUUUGCACUUUUUGGGGCUGAAGCUGCA